rnacentral:rRNA from 1 species
UACAGAGGGUGCAAGCGUUGUCCGGAAUCAUUGGGCGUAAAGAGCGUGUAGGCGGUUCGGUAAGUCGGCUGUGAAAGUCCAGGGCUCAACCCUGGGAUGCCGGUCGAUACUGCCGGACUAGAGUUCGGAAGAGGCGAGUGGAAUUCCCGGUGUAGCGGUGAAAUGCGCAGAUAUCGGGAGGAACACCUAUGGCGAAGGCAGCUCGCUGGGACGUUACUGACGCUGAGACGCGAAAGCGUGGGGAGCAAACAGG